CUUGUAUUCAGAAAGUUAAUUCCCCUAUUUCAUCCCACAAGUCGAAAACCACUAGACAGAAGAAGCAAACUCAUCUAGCUCACAUGUCCUCUUCCUCUCUUGCAUGCGUUACACCAGCAUCAAAAGUUCACAAGUCCCCUCCUCUCUAUCCUUCUCCUCAAACCGCUGACUCAAAGAAAGGAACAACAAGAAACAAGCCAAAUUCCUUGAUGGCCAUUGGGUGUGGAUUAGUAACCAGUUCUGUUUUCCCCUUUCCUCCUUCCAGAACCGAUAAUUUUAGAGAGACACAACAAAACAAGAGCCGUAUCCUUUCCUUCUUCCUGCCACUAUUUGCUGACUUGAAGUCAGUCUCACCAGCCCCUGUGCGUUAAUGGUGGAACCACAAGGUUGCAUUCCUAUCAUUUAAUUUCUGGACCAAACUCAGCCUUGUUCCCUCUCAAGUCCGCGAGCUACUUGGAGGAGGAACACCAAGAGUAAUUCUGCAUCACCUUCCAUCCACCCUCUCUCAUACCGUGGGCACUUUGGGAGAAUGACAAAGCUCCUUGCACACUCAUUCCCUCCUUCUCCUGUUCGGCCUAGGAGCAUAUGAGAAGAGGUGAGAUUAAAUUUCGUGACAUUCUUGAUUCUCCUCUUGGAUUGAUUUCUGAUUUAGUUUUCCAUUUCUUGAGCGUGAAUUUGCCUUGAGCGAGUCUCUCCACCCCUUGCAUGCGGCUGGUUUUGGUUGGAGAGUGAGGUUGAGGUCCUCCACCCGUAUAACUAACAAUUGGAGGCUUGAAAGAAGGUUCGUAAACCUCAUGAAUGUGGGAUGGACUUGGGACUGUUUUGAUUAGAAAGCUAAAGUAUCAGGAGUACGAAAUGGCAUAUGAUGAUGUACUUGUAUUGGAGAUGUCUUGUUUAUUUGCUACUUCCGUUUUGGGAAUUUUGAUGUUGACAUGUUGUUCCUGCUGAUUUGGCUGAUCGCUCUAGUAUGAUGUAAUAAUUGUUUUGAGAUGUUGUAAGAAACUGUUAGAAUAUGUUUUAAUUUGGGGUCUGUUUGUAACUUGUGAAAAUCUGGUGUUCUUUAGCAAAAUUAUUCAUGCAUGUUCCAAUCCUGAAUUUUUAAACUAGUUUUGCGAGAACUUUGCAAGUUGUCAUUCUGGGGCUACAGACCUCCAAUUGAGGUAUACUUUACAUGGAUGUAAAGCUCCAGUUGUGUACUUUCAUAUUAUGUAAACCUUACAAUGAAAUUUUGA